AUACGUAGGGUGCGAGCGUUGUCCGGACUUACUGGGCGUAAAGAGCUCGUAGGUGGUUUGUCGCGUCGUCUGUGAAAUUCCGGGGCUUAACUCCGGGCGUGCAGGCGAUACGGGCAUAACUUGAGUACUGUAGGGGAGACUGGAACUCCUGGUGUAGCGGUGAAAUGCGCAAAUAUCAGGAGGAACACCGGUGGCGAAGGCGGGUCUCUGGGCAGUAACUGACGCUGAGGAGCGAAAGCAUGGGUAGCGAACAGGAUUAGAUACCCUGGUAGUCCAUGCCGUAAACGGUGGGCGCUAGGUGUAGGGGCCUUCCACGACUUCUGUGCCGUAGCUAACGCAUUAAGCGCCCCGCCUGGGGAGUACGGCCGCAAGGCUAAAACUCAAAGGAAUUGACGGGG
rnacentral:rRNA from 1 species